UACGGAGGGGGCUAGCGUUGUUCGGAAUUACUGGGCGUAAAGCGCGCGCAGGCGGACCUGCAAGUCGGGGGUGAAAGCCCGAGGCUUAACCUCGGAACUGCCUUCGAUACUGCGGGUCUCGAGUCCGGGAGAGGUGAGUGGAAUUCCUAGUGUAGAGGUGAAAUUCGUAGAUAUUAGGAAGAACACCAGUGGCGAAGGCGGCUCACUGGCCCGGUACUGACGCUGAGACGCGAAAGCGUGGGGAGCGAACAGG
rnacentral:rRNA from 1 species